GACGAACGCUGGCGGCGUGCUUAACACAUGCAAGUCGAACGGAAAGGCCCUGCUUUUGUGGGGUGCUCGAGUGGCGUACGGGUGAGUAACACGUGAGUAACCUGCCCUUGACUUUGGGAUAACUUCAGGAAACUGGGGCUAAUACCGGAUAGGAGCUCCUGCUGCAUGGUGGGGGUUGGAAAGUUUCGGCGGUUGGGGAUGGACUCGCGGCUUAUCAGCUUGUUGGUGGGGUAGUGGCUUACCAAGGCUUUGACGGGUAGCCGGCCUGAGAGGGUGACCGACCACAUUGGGACUGAGAUACGGCCCAGACUCCUACGGGAGGCAGCAGUGGGGAAUAUUGCACAAUGGGCGGAAGCCUGAUGCAGCAACGCCGCGUGCGGGAUGACGGCCUUCGGGUUGUAAACCGCUUUCGCCUGUGACGAAGCGUGAGUGACGGUAAUGGGUAAAGAAGCACCGGCUAACUACGUG
rnacentral:rRNA from 1 species